GUGGGGAAUAUUGGACAAUGGGCGCAAGCCUGAUCCAGCCAUGCCGCGUGAGUGAUGAAGGCCUUAGGGUUGUAAAGCUCUUUCAGUAGGGAAGAUAAUGACGGUAUCCGGAGAAGAAGCCCCGGCUAACUUCGUGCCAGCAGCCGCGGUAAUACGAAGGGGGCUAGCGUUGUUCGGAAUUACUGGGCGUAAAGCGCACGUAGGCGGACAUUUAAGUCAGGGGUGAAAUCCCGGGGCUCAACCCCGGAACUGCCUUUGAUACUGGGUGUCUGGAGUAUGGAAGAGGUAAGUGGAAUUCCGAGUGUAGAGGUGAAAUUCGUAGAUAUUCGGAGGAACACCAGUGGCGAAGGCGGCUUACUGGUCCAUUACUGACGCUGAGGUGCGAAAGCGUGGGGAGCAAACAGGAUUAGAAACCCGGGUAGUCC
rnacentral:rRNA from 1 species